AUGGUCGCCACUUUGAACAGCCUCUCGGAGGAGAACCACACUGCUCGGAUAGAGCGCGCCGAGGACCGCGCCACCCUCCAGUCCAUCGCCGCGACACUCAAAACCCUCCAGGACCAGCUGGCGGACACGUCACAGCAGCAGCGCGCGCAGAACCUGGCCCUCCUUCGGCUGGAAGGCAAGGGCACGCCUCAAUUGGGUGGUACCGGGCUCCUGCGGCCCCCAGAUGCGCCAUCCCACACCGGGGCCCCGGCCAAUCCAGGGGAUAGGGCUCCAUGCCUCUACAAGAUUGAUUUUCCCCUCUUUGACUGGGCCAGCGAUCCACGGCCGUGGCUGACACGUUGCAAUCUCUUCUUCCUCGGGCAGCGAACGCCGGAGUCGGAUAAGACUUGGCUCGCCUCAUACCACCUCACCGAUGUCGCCGCAUUAUGGUAUGGCCACCUCGAGACUAAGCUGGGCCAGCGGCCGUCCUGGACCGAGUUUCAAAAACUGAUCACCAACCACUUCGGACCGCCGACCCGCGCCAACCCCUUUGGCGAGCUGAUCUCCACCCGCCGCUCCGGCACCGUGGCAGAA
rnacentral:rRNA from 1 species